AAAGAAUAUGGCUGCCUAAAUAUGGUUCCCAAUCAGAGACAACGAUAAGCACCUGCCUCUGAUUGAGAACCACUCCAGACAGCCAUAGACCUUGCUAGACAACCCACUAAGCUACAAUCCCAAUACCACCACCAAAACCCCAAGACAAACACACCACAAUUACAAAAACCCCAUGCCACACCCUGGCCUGACCAAAUACAUAAAGAUAAACACAAAAUACUUUGACCAGGGCGUGACAAGUCCAACGCUCUAACCACUAGGCUACGCUGAACUGAAGAAGACUUUCUCACUACCGGCAGACUGUCAGAACAUCAUGUCUAAUUGUUAUCUAUGGGACUGAUACCAGUGUGGAAGAGCUGGUCAUGUCUAAUAGUCAUCUAUGGGACUGAUACCAGUGUGAAGAGCUGGUCAUGUCUAAUAGUUAUCAAUGGGACUGAUACCAGUGUGGAAGAGCUGGUCAUGUCUAAUAGUUAUCUAUGGGACUGAUACCAGUGUGGAAGAGCUGGUCAUGUCUAAUAGUCAUCUAUGUGGGACUGAUACCAGUGUGGAAGAGCUGGUCAUUUCUAAUAGUCAUCUAUGUGGGACUGAUACCAGUGUGAAGAGCUGGUCAUGUCUAAUAGUUAUCUAUGUGGGACUGAUACCAGUGUGGAAGAGCUGGUCAUGUCUAAUAGUUAUCUAUGUGACUGAUACCAGUGUGAAGAGAAGGUCAUGUCUAAUAGUUAUCUAUGUGACUGAUACCAGUGUGAAGAGCUGGUCAUGUCUAAUAGUUAUCUAUGGGACUGAUACCAGUGUGAAGAGAAGGUCAUGUCUAAUAGUUAUCUAUGUGACUGAUACCAGUGUGAAGAGCUGGUCAUGUCUAAUAGUCAUCUAUGUGGGACUGAUACCAGUGUGAAGAGCUGGUCAUGUCUAAUAGUUAUCUAUGUGGGACUGAUACCAGUGUGGAAGAGCUGGUCAUGUCUAAUAGUCAUCUAUGUGACUGAUACCAGUGUGAAGAGCUGGUCAUGUCUAAUAGUUAUCUAUGGGACUGAUACCAGUGUGAAGAGAAGGUCAUGUCUAAU
ensembl:lncRNA